rnacentral:rRNA from 1 species
CGGACGGGUGAGUAACGCGUGGGUAACCUGCCUCAUAUAGGGGGAUAACGGUUAGAAAUGACUGCUAAUACCGCAUAAGCGCACAGUACCGCAUGGUACGGUGUGAAAAACUCCGGUGGUAUGAGAUGGACCCGCGUCUGAUUAGCUAGUUGGUGAGGUAACGGCCCACCAAGGCGACGAUCAGUAGCCGACCUGAGAGGGUGACCGGCCACAUUGGGACUGAGACACGGCCCAG